rnacentral:rRNA from 1 species
GACGAACCGUGCGAACGUUGUUCGGAAUCACUGGGCUUAAAGGGCGCGUAGGCGGGCUGCCGCGUCUGGGGAUGAAAUCCUCCGGCUCAACCGGGGAAGGGCCUCGGGUACGGGCGGCCUCGAGGGAGAUAGGGGCAUGGCGGAACUGUAGGGUGGAGCGGUGAAAUGCGUUGAUAUCCAACAGGAACUCCGGUGGCGAAAGCGGUGUGCUGGAUCCUUUCUGACCGCUGAUGCGCGAAAGCCAGGGGAGCAAACGGG